UAUCUUCCCAAUAUGAGCACUCCUCCUGUAAACAUCAUUUUGUGACUUCUGAUUUUGGCCUCUAAGGGAAGUAACAAGUAUUAAUUACCGGCAUCAAAUUUGGAAUCAAAUUUUUGGAAAUUUGCAAGCUUAGAGGAAAUUGCAUACAAUAUUUAAUAGCAUUUUAUAUUCAAUCAGAAACUUGUAGAGUUUGCAGACUUGUACAACAACUCUUGCCACAAUCGAUAUAGAGAGAAAAAGAGUUAAAUUUGGCAGCCAGAAAAAUCAGCUGCCACUUGUUCUACUUCAAUUAUGAGGCAAUAUAAAGUCUGAAUUAUGAUAAGCAAAAACUAUAGGUCCAUCCCCCACAACCAUGAAUGAUGAAACAUGAACACCAAAGGGAACAAUGUACAAAACGAUCAUCCAUGGCUGCUAACAGAUGCACAUAAACAGCUCCUUUAUAAAUGGAUGAUCAAGGCUGUCUACCUUUGUGUACAGUUUCAUCAAUCAUGGGAGUGGUGGCUAUCAGUAAACCAUGAAAGUGACUCUAUGGAGUGUUAAAAAUGCCAUUUUCAAAGAGUUCCUCGCCAUUGUCAGACCUGUGAGAGUCAUCAGAAGAUUUUUUGAUUGCUUUCUCCAUCUCCUCAUCAAUCAUAAUCUCCUCUGCGCGACAACUUAAACUGCAAAAGGCUUUCUCACCUCUGCGAGAAAUCAACACAAAUCAGUAUUCUCUAGUCAACAAGUAAUGUGCAUUGUGCAAAAUAAAAGCCUGUGCAGAUAACUCAGAACAAACCUGUACAUGUAAAUAUCUUUCCCACCUUCCAAUUUCUUGUUGCAAUGAUAACAGAAGUUCAAAAAAUCAUUUGAAGGAAAUAGACUUGGAAUUAUAGAGCUAGAAAUAGCGUGAGGGACUCCAGUCUCCUUUCCUUCAUUAGAGUAACAUUCCAAAAUGCAAUCACCAUAAAUAUGAGUUUUCUUGGGGUUGGGACCAUGUGAUAUUACACAUGUAUAGUCCUCAGAAAGCUCAAUCUCACUUGCAGAGAGAGAAACAAUUCGUCCAUUGGCAGAGCCAACAGACAUUGGAGUCAAGUUCAAAUCAGUAUGCAAAGAGUUGUUUGAGUUUGGGCUUCCUCCAGAAAAUUGCAUCGGAGUAUUCACUUGGGUAGUAAGAUUAUUCAAGCAGAAAUUCCCUGAAGUCACAUUCGAGUUCUGUCCAGCCAAUCGGGAUAGUGUGGAAAAGGACUUGCAGGAGUCCAGUGAACAAGACCGGAUUUUUCCAAAGUGCUCAGGUGCAAAUGGGGCUUCUCCAAUCUCAAAAAUAACAUUAGAGCUGCCCUUCUGAAGUGGAGAUUUGGUAUGGGUAUGAGGGAAAAUUGCAAAAUUUCUUGGCAAAGACUUUGGUGCCUCAAAAGAAUUAGCAUUGGCUUGAAAGUUUGGGUCUUUAAUUCUUACUCGCUGUCCAAAAAGAAUGUUCUUGCUCUCUGAUGAUCGAAGAAAUUUGCCAGAUUCUCUCAUAUCAUCAUCAUCAAGAGAAUUUACAAUGCUUAAGCCUACUUUACUGCAAUCCCAGCUCUUCUGGUGCCCAUUGUGAGAUGACCUUUGGGACCUACUGGGAUUUCCUAGAUUUGAGAACAUCCUGAAAUCCAGAGGAGAUGUUGGGCUUCUAACAGAAUCACAAUCUGAUAAGCCCUUAGAAGUUAACCCAACAAACAGACCAGGGACACCGACAAAGGAGUUUGUUUUGUGAUUGUAUCCCAGACAAUCAGACUGGGUAAAGGGCUCAGAACCAGAAUCAGACAUUGUUAAGGGACCCAUCUGUUGAUCUUUCUGGAGUGACCUGGUUCUCUUCCUCAACAUUACCCCAAGACCCUUGUCAGGAACACCUAAAACCCCUUUAUCUGUACUAAAGCAACAGAUUUAACAAAUAAAUAAGUGUUAUAUUGUGGGAAAACAAUUAGAAUAAGCAGGAAACUGAUUAUAUUCUUAUCAGGAUUAUCAACAAUCAGCUACAUUGAGGAAAAUAGUAACAAAAGACGUUGAUAAACAUUUUCAUAUACAAGAAGAGUAAAGAUUUCACGGACUAUGCUUAGGAGAAAGAUCAGAAGAAAGAUUUGUUUAGUGAUUGAAAUUUCACAAAUCCUAGAACAACUAGAUAUCAAGUGGAUGAAAAGUAGCAAGGGAUAGCAAAAUCUCCAAAUGCAGGAAAAAAAAAAUUAUGAAGACCAAGGGGGACCAUGUCAAGCAGAACACUGUCAAUCUUGAUUUUCCCCAUGAAAUUGAAAAACCCAGAUGAUAGAAAUCGCUCAAAGAGGAGAUACCCAGAUAAGCAAUCCCCCAAAAUAGAAUUAAAAAAGCUUAAAAAAAAAACCAACAGUGCAAAGAAGAUGAUCAAGGCCAAACAUUACAAUUAAUAAAAAAAAAAUGCAUGAACUGAGAUAAUAGCAAUAAGAAGUUUAAUCAGAGAAUGAAUAAACAAAAAUAAUAAAGCACACCUGGGCUCCUUUAUCUUGCAGUGGAAAAUACAGGGAGAUGAUGUUUUAGAGAAGAGACCCAAAUGCAGUAA
rnacentral:misc_RNA from 1 species